GAUCCUGGCUCAGGAUAACGCUAGCCGCAGGCCUAACACAUGCAAGUCGAGGGGUAGAGUGCUUCGGCACUUGAGACCGGCGCACGGGUGCGUAACACGUGUACAAUCUACCUUUUGCUAAGGGAUAGCCCGAAGAAAUUUGGAUUAAUACCUUAUAGUAUUGUUUGGUGGCAUCACUGAAUAAUUAAAGCUCUGGUGGCAAAAGAUGAGUACGCGUCCCUUAGCUAGUUGGUGGGUAACGGCAUACCAGGGCUACGAUGGGUAGGGGUCCUGAGAGGGAGGUCCCCCACACUGGUACUGAGACACGGACCAGACUCCUACGGGAGGCAGCAGUGAGGAAUAUUGGACAAUGGUCGGAAGACUGAUCCAGCCAUGCCGCGUGCAGGAUGACGGCCUUAUGGGUUGUAAACUGCUUUUAUACAGGAAGAAUAAGGUCUACGAGUAGAUUGAUGACGGUACUGUAUGAAUAAGCAUCGGCUAACUCCGUGCCAGCAGCCGCGGUAAUACGGAGGAUGCGAGCGUUAUCCGGAAUCAUUGGGUUUAAAGGGUCCGUAGGCGGGCUUAUAAGUCAGAGGUGAAAGCACUGAGCUCAACUGAGUAACUGCCUUUGAAACUGUAGGUCUUGAAUGUUUUGUGAAGUAGGCUGGCAAUGUAGUGUAGCGGUGAAAUGCAUAGAUAUUACACAGAACACCGAUUGCGAAGGCAUGUUACUAACAAAUUAUUGACGCUGAUGGGACAAAGCGUGGGGGCGAACAGGAUUAGAUACCCUGGUAGUCCCACCUGUAAACGAUGGAUACUAGCUGUUUGGAGUAAUUUUGGAGUGGCUAAGCGAAAGUGAUAAGUAUCCCACCUGGGGAGUACGCACGCAAGUGUGAAACUCAAAGGAAUUGACGGGGGCCCGCACAAGCGGUGGAGCAUGUGGUUUAAUUCGAUGAUACGCGAGGAACCUUACCAAGGUUUAAAUGGGAAACGACGUAUCUAGAGAUAGAUAUUUCUUCGGACGUUUUUCAAGGUGCUGCAUGGUUGUCGUCAGCUCGUGCCGUGAGGUUCGGUUAAACC
rnacentral:rRNA from 1 species